rnacentral:rRNA from 1 species
AGUGAACACUGGCGGUAGGCCUAACACAUGCAAGUCGAACGGCAGCACAGAGGAGCUUGCUCCUUGGGUGGCGAGUGGCGGACGGGUGAGGAAUACAUCGGAAUCUACUCUGUCGUGGGGGAUAACGUAGGGAAACUUACGCUAAUACCGCAUACGACCUACGGGUGAAAGCAGGGGAUCUUCGGACCUUGCGCGAUUGAAUGAGCCGAUGUCGGAUUAGCUAGUUGGCGGGGUAAAGGCCCACCAAGGCGACGAUCCGUAGCUGGUCUGAGAGGAUGAUCAGCCACACUGGAACUGAGACACGGUCCAGACUCCUACGGGAGGCAGCAGUGGGGAAUAUUGGACAAUGGGCGCAAACCUGAUCCAGCCAUACCGCGUGGGUGAAGAAGGCCUUCGGGUUGUAAAGCCCUUUUGUUGGGAAAGAAAUCCAUCUGGUUAAUACCCGGGUGGGAUGACGGUACCCAAAGAAUAAGCACCGGCUAACUUCGUGCCAGCAGCCGCCGCAG